UUGGAGGGCAAGUCUGGUGCCAGCAGCCGCGGUAAUUCCAGCUCCAAUAGCGUAUAUUAAAGUUGUUGCAGUUAAAAAGCUCGUAGUUGAAUUUCGAGAUCAAUUUGUCGGUCGUGCCUCGGUACGUACUGGCAUUAUUGAUUUCUCCCUUCUGAAGAACCGCGAUGUCAUUAAUUUGGUGUCGUGGGGAAUCAGGGCUGUUACUUUGAAAAAAUUAGAGUGUUUAAAGCAGGCGCACGCUUGAAUACAUUAGCAUGGAAUAAUGAAAUAGGACGUUUGAUUCUAUUUUGUUGGUUUCUAGGAUCGACGUAAUGACUAAUAGGGAUAGUCGGGGGCAUUAGUAUUCAAUUGUCAGAGGUGAAAUCCUUGGAUUUAUUGAAGACUAACUACUGCGAAAGCAUUUGCCAAGGAUGUUUUCAUUAAUCAAGAACGAAAGUUAGGGGAUCGAAGACGAUCAGAUACCGUCGUAGUCUUAACCAUAAACUAUGCCGACUAGGGAUCGGAUGAUGUUAAUUUUUUAAUGACUCAUUCGGCGCCUUACGGGAAACCAAAGUGUUUGGGUUC
rnacentral:rRNA from 1 species